CUAUACGGCUAUACAGCAGUAGGAAACAAACGUGACACUGACACAGAUCCUGGCCUGUUACUGGACUGUCCAGCCUGUUGCAGGUAUACAGCUAUACGGCAGUAGGAAACAAACGUGACACUGACACAGAUCCUGGCCUGUUACUGGACUGUCCAGCCUGUUGCAGGUAUACAGCUAUACAGCAGUAGGAAACAAACGUGACACUGACAAAGAUCCUGGCCUGUUACUGGACUGUCCAGCCUGUUGCAGGUAUACAGCUAUACAGCAGUAGGAAACAAACGUGACACUGACACAGAUCCUGGCCUGUUACUGGACUGUCCAGCCUGUUGCAGGUAUACAGCUAUACAGCAGUAGGAAACAAACGUGACACUGACACAGAUCCUGGCCUGUUACUGGACUGUCCAGCCUGUUGCAGGUAUACUGCUAUACGGCUAUACAGCUAUACAGCAGUAGGAAACAAACCCAUUUUCUGAUGUAUUUUUUGUUGUUUUGUUUUUGCCCUAAGGGACACUUUUGUAAUCUAUGCACUUGCGAAUUACCUUAUUUUGGAUAUGCUUAACAGUUUUUAUACAAGUUCUCUGCAAUGUAUGCUUGCCAGAUUAAUAUUUCAUUGAUUGGGAUUUCAGUAGUUUUACAGAUAGAUAAAGUAUAUUUUGAGUGUAUGUCAUUAUUUUAGACCAAAGGUUUCCAAACUUAGUGUGCUCAUUUUUUUGUAUCAUUGAGCAAUGAUUUUGUCUUUCAUGAUAUGAUUUGAGAGUGAUUUGUGAACUAUUUCAUUGUUCUCAAAAGGACAGAUUUAGAUUUACAUGUAUACACUGUCAAUGCACAUAUAAUGUGCCACUGACAUAUUUUGGAAUUUCAGGUGUCAAGUUGUGAGAUCAUCUGAUUCCCAAUAGUACAUCAGAGAAGAAACUUAAGUUUGCUCAUUUUAUCAUUUACAACAUAAUUAUUCAGUUUUGACAUUCCACUUAUGUAAUAUCUGAUCUGAAACCUGCUCAUUACAAACCUGUGUUAACGCUGGUGGUGUUGGUACAGAUGUUGGAGGCCACCACAACAGUGGAAUCAGACAUGAAGUCUCAGGCAUGUCUGUACAAGUGGAAAUAAUUCAUAAAGUGUUUUGAAUAUUUUGAUGGAAGUGUAUGACAGCUUUAUGAUGCUUGUUAAUAAAAUGUUAAUUGUA